AGACCUCAGGUAAGGCGGGGCUAC
rnacentral:rRNA from 1 species